ACGAAGGGGACUAGCGUUGUUCGGAAUCACUGGGCGUAAAGAGCGAGUAGGUGGUAGAAUAAGUCAGAUGUGAAAUCCUUAAUCUUAAGUUAAGAAUGGCAUUUGAAACUGUGAUACUAGAGGACAGGAGGGGAUAGUGGAAUUCCAAGUGUAGAGGUGAAAUUCGUAGAUAUUUGGAGGAACACCGGAAGCGAAGGCGUCUAUCUGGCCUGUAACUGACACUGAGAAGCGAGAGCAUGGGUAGCAAACAGGA
rnacentral:rRNA from 1 species